rnacentral:rRNA from 1 species
UACGUAGGGUGCGAGCGUUAAUCGGAAUUACUGGGCGUAAAGCGUGCGCAGGCGGUUUUGUAAGCCAGAUGUGAAAGCCCCGGGCUUAACCUGGGAAUGGCAUUUGGGACUGCAAGGCUUGAGUUUGGCAGAGGAGACUGGAAUUCCUGGUGUAGCAGUGAAAUGCGUAGAUAUCAGGAGGAAUACCGAUGGCGAAGGCAGGUCUCUGGGCUAUAACUGACGCUCAUGCACGAAAGCGUGGGGAGCAAACAGG